GCGCCCGGAGAGCUCUAGCUGGUGGCGAAGGAAGAGUUGAGAGUGUUUGCAGUUCGUGCUGUUGAAAAUUUCUGGUGUUUAAAGCCAUUCGCAACACUACGAUUAAAAAUGGCCUGAUUGAUCAUUAAUGCCUGCCGUGAUGUGCUGAGCAAGAUUGGCAGUAUCUUAAAUGGGAAGGAAAGUCCAUCCGCUGCUGGCCAAUCCAAGGCACCAGUUAGCCAGGUCAAAGGUGAAAAGUACAGUAAGAUAAACUCAUCACUGGAUGAUGACCUAUUGCCAGAGGGCCUGCCAAAAUCAGGGCCUGUAAUUCAACAAUGUGGGUCCUGAGGUUAAAGAUUGCACCAGACUAGCCUAUUGGCAAUCCAAACUGGUGAAUUUUAGCAGAGUUCUGGUGAAGGAGUCUACCAUGGUAGAGAAUGAAGACGUGCUCAGCAACUCACUGACUCAUGAGAUGAGCACCUCUGAAAAUUACUUGCUUUGUUUCAAACCCCCCUGAUUUAAAAAUAAAUUGAUGAUUGAGAA